rnacentral:rRNA from 1 species
UACGGAGGGUGCGAGCGUUGUCCGGAAUUACUGGGCGUAAAGCGCACGUAGGCGGACCAGUCAGUUGGGGGUGAAAUCCCGGGGCUCAACCCCGGAACUGCCUCCAAAACUGCUGGUCUGGAGGUCGAGAGAGGCGAGUGGAAUUCCGAGUGUAGAGGUGAAAUUCGUAGAUAUUCGGAGGAACACCAGUGGCGAAGGCGGCUCGCUGGCUCGAUACUGACGCUGAGGUGCGAAAGCGUGGGGAGCAAACAGG